CGGCCAGCUCACAAGGUUCUGCACCUCUCACAUUCCAUGAUAAACUCUAACACUUUAGAUAUUCUCAUUUAUAUUAUUUUAUCUUUUGUUAACUAAUAUAAUAUUCUUUAUAUUAGAUAUUUUAUGCUCAGGUUCGAACAAUAGAGGGUCACCAGUGACCCCACAGUCACACGUACUAGUGACCGACUCUCAAACAUAGAGGCAUGGUAGAGGAUCCAUCUGAUUCGUGGCACCUAUGACUCGAUCGGAGGAUGGAGAGCUCAUCCAUAUUUAGAGCUGGUCAUAAGUACUAUAUCUUUACUGAAUAUGU
rnacentral:lncRNA from 1 species